rnacentral:rRNA from 1 species
GGUUUUUAGAUUUUAUUAAAAAUCAAGCCUGCUCAAUGCUAAGUAAAUAGCCGCAGAAUUUUAACUGUGCAAAGGUAGCAUAAUCACUUGUCUUUUAAUUGAGGACUAGAAUGAAAGGUUUAACUAUGUAAUUUUGUCUUAUAAUAAUAUUUUGAACUUAAUUUUUUAGUAAAAAAGCUAAAAUUCAUCUUAAAGACGAGAAGACCCUAUUAAGCUUUACAAUUUAAUAUUAUUUUCAAACUAAUUAAAAAAUUGUUCUGCUGGGGCAGCAAAUAGAAAAAUAUUGUUUACAUAUUGUGAUAAAUAAAUCUAGAAAAAUCAAUAAUUUGUUAAAAAAUAAUAAGUUACUAUAGGGAUAACAGCAUAAUUUUUUUAAAGAGUUCUUAUCAACAAAAAAGUUUGUGACCUCGAUGUUGGAUUAAGAAUCCUAUUUUACGCAGUAGUAAAAAAAGGAAGUCUGUUCGACUUUUAAAUUCUUCCA